rnacentral:tRNA from 1 species
GAGGGUAUAGCUCAGUGGUAGAGUACAUGGUUAGCAUGCCCAAGGUCCUGGGUUCAAUUCCCAGUACCUCCU